rnacentral:sRNA from 1 species
GGUUCGACUCGAGCGCCAGCGAGAGAGCGUGGCCGCAGGCAACGACCCGAAGGGCGAAGCGCGCAGCGCUGAGUAAUCCUUCCCCCACCACCA